AGGAUAAUAGUUAAAUUAACAUUUAAUUUGCACUUAAAAAAUAUUGAAUAUUCAAUUUAUCUU
rnacentral:tRNA from 1 species